AUUUAUUUAUUUAUUACUUCCUUUAUUUUUAUUUUCCCUCUUCCUUUAUCUUGGCUCUUCAUUUUUUUCAUUCUUCCCUCAUCCUUUAUCUUUUUUCUUUUCCUUUCAUCCCCAUUAGCCUAAUUCCCAUCCUCACCUUCACCUCCAUUUCCACCCUCCUUCCCAUCACCCAUCAACACGACGUUUAAUACCAGCUUCUUCCUCCCUCAGACUAGACCCCCCUGCACUUGGCUGCCUCUGGGGGUCAUAAGGCAGUGGUGGACGUCCUCGUGGCGGGGGGCGGCGACCCCAACGCCAGAGACUGGAAAGGCAGAACGGCGAUGCACGUGGCAGCCUGGCAGGGGCACUGGGGGGCGCUGGAAGCUCUUGCAGCGAACGGGGCCGACGUUGUUCCCUUAAAACCAACGUGCUAACAAUAUUGAAUAUGUGUGCAAGUGUGAUUCUGAUGAUACAUUAAGGAAAAAAUUAACCCUUACCUAUUCUCUAGCUUUUUCCCAUAUCAUAUUCUGUCUCUGAUCUCCCUUUGUUUAUUUAUCAUUAUUUUGUUUCUCAUGAAUAUUCGGCAUCACUUUCUCAAUCUUUCUUUCAUCUUGCAGAAGUAUUUUCUUUCUUUUAGAAAUUUCUCUUACCUCUUUUCCAUUCUUUGAAUGACACUCAUGCACAUGCAUA